GAUGAACGCUGGCGGCGUGCCUAAUACAUGCAAGUCGAGCGAACAGAUAAGGAGCUUGCUCCUUUGACGUUAGCGGCGGACGGGUGAGUAACACGUGGAUACCCUACCUAUAAGACUGGGAUCACUUCGGGACACCGGAGCUAAUACCGGAUAACAUAUUGAACCGCAUGGUUCAAUAGUGAAAGGCGGCUUUGCUGUCACUUAUAGAUGGAUCCGCGCCGUAUUAGCUAGUUGGUAAGGUAACGGCUUACCAAGGCAACGAUACGUAGCCGACCUGAGAGGGUGAUCGGCCACACUGGAACUGAGACACGGUCCAGACUCCUACGGGAGGCAGCAGUAGGGAAUGGUCCGCAAUGGGCGAAAGCCUGACGGAGCAACGCCGCGUGAGUGAUGAAGGUCUUCGGAUCGUAAAACUCUGUUAGCAGGGAAGAACAAAUGUGGAAGGAACUGUGCAGAUAGUGACGGUACCGGAUCAGAAAGCCACGGCUAACUACGUG
rnacentral:rRNA from 1 species